UAGGCCCGAGUGGGUGCUGCUGAAAUGGGCAAGUUCAUGAAACCUGGGAAGGUGGUGCUUGUCCUGGCUGGACGCUACUCUGGAUGCAAAGCCGUCAUCGUGAAGAACAUUGAUGAUGGCACCUCAGAUCGCCCCUACAGCCAUGCUUUGGUGGCUGGAAUUGACCGCUAUCCCCGCAAAGUGACAGCUGCCAUGGGCAAGAAGAAGAUCGCCAAGAGGUCAAAGAUCAAGUCUUUUGUGAAAGUUUAUAACUACAAUCACCUGAUGCCCACAAGGUACUCUGUGGACAUCCCCUUGGACAAAACUGUCAUCAAUAAGGAUGUCUUCAGAGAUCCCGCCCUUAAACGCAAGGCCCGACGAGAGGCCAAGGUCAAGUUUGGGAGAGAUACAAGACAGGCAAGAACAAGUGGUUCUUCCAGAAGCUGCGGUUUUAGAUGCUUUGUUUUGGUCAUUAAAAAAGAAAAAG